rnacentral:rRNA from 1 species
CGGCAGAACGGGUGAGUAACGCGUGGGAACAUACCCUCCGGUUCGGAAUAGCUCAGGGAAACUUGGAUUAAUACCGGAUACGGCCUGGCGGCGAAAGAUUGAUCGCCGGAGGAUUGGCCCGCGUUCGAUUAGCUAGUUGGCGGGGUAACGGCCCACCAAGGCGACGAUCGAUAGCUGGUCUGAGAGGAUGAUCAGCCACAUUGGGACUGAGACACGGCCCAAACUCCUACGGGAGGCAGCAGUGGGGAAUAUUGGACAAUGGGCGCAAGCCUGAUCCAGCCAUGCCGCGUGAGUGAUGACGGCCUUAGGGUUGUAAAGCUCUUUCGCUAGGGACGAUAAUGACGGUACCUAGACAAGAAGCCCCGGCUAACUUCGUGCCAGCAGCCGCGGUAAUACGAAGGGGGCUAGCGUUGUUCGGAAUUACUGGGCGUAAAGCGCGUGUAGGCGGGCGUUUAAGUCAGGGGUGAAAUGCCAAGGCUCAACCUUGGAACUGCCUUUGAUACUGGACGCCUCGAGUCCGGGAGAGGUGAGUGGAACUGCGAGUGUAGAGGUGAAAUUCGUAGAUAUUCGCAAGAACACCAGUGGCGAAGGCGGCUCACUGGCCCGGAACUGACGCUGAGACGCGAAAGCGUGGGGA